rnacentral:rRNA from 1 species
GCAAGUCGAGGGGCAGCACAAGGAGCAAUCUGAGGUGGCGACCGGCGCACGGGUGAGUAACACGUAUGCAACCUGCCUGUAAGCGGGGAAUAACCCGUUGAAAGACGGACUAAUACCGCAUAAUACUAAAUUACUGCAUGGUAAUUUAUUUUAAACAUUUAUGGCUUACAGAUGGGCAUGCGCAUGAUUAGCUAGUUGGAGAGGUAACGGCUCCCCAAGGCAACGAUCAUUAGGGGUUCUGAGAGGAAGGUCCCCCACACUGGUACUGAGACACGGACCAGACUCCUACGGGAGGCAGCAGUGAGGAAUAUUGGUCAAUGGACGAGAGUCUGAACCAGCCAAGUCGCGUGCAGGAAGAAUGUUCCCUAUGGAUUGUAAACUGCUUUUGCAGGGGAAUAAAGUGCAUCACGUGUGAUGUUUUGUAUGUACUCUGCGAAUAAGGAUCGGCUAACUCCGUGCCAGCCGCCGC